rnacentral:lncRNA from 1 species
GCCAACACAUAUUGUCGUAGAUAAGAGUAUUGGUAGCUAGGUGCCUUAGAAACUUGAUGAAGAACUUGAGAAGCAUCAGCAGUAACCGCCGAGUUAACAAGCUGUCCAAACAAGAGAGGCAUGGACACCCCACUUCCCACAGCACAAACUGUACCCACACUCAUCGCCUGUUUGGGAAAAACUUAUUUUAAAUGACUUAUAAGUUAAAAUAUAAGAUGACUUAUAAGUUGUUUUAAGUUCUGACUUAUAAGUAAAAGCGUUCGGCAUCAAUUUGACUUAUAAGUCAAAAAUUAAGUUAAAACAAGUUAUGAAAGUAUUUGGCUCAUAAUGAUUUAUAAGUUAAAAUAAAUGUAAAGAUUACUAAAAAGGACAUUAAUAAAAAGAGGGGCCAAAAUAGACAUUAUAUUUGGUCAAACUAACUUAUUUUUGUUGAGUUCAAACUCAACUUAUAAGUAGAAAAAUAAGUCAUUUCGGAACAGGAGUGUUAAUUAGGAAUAUGAAUUCACGGGAAAGAAAAUUAAUUGGUAUUUAGUUUGUGUGUGUGUGUUUAAAGGUAAAGGUUAAUUCUUGAUCAAAAGUAUCAUGAUCUAUAGUUUGGCUAGGUAACUGAAUUUAGUUAAAAGUCAGUGUUAUAACAUAGCAACGUUUUUAGAUGUUUUUGAAUCUCAUAUAGAAUCAAUCCCAUCUAUCAUACAACAUGUUGCCCUAUAGUUUGCACAUCAAAUCCCCUUUCACAUUGAUCCUUACCACCACUUUUUUACUUUCUGUAGCUAUAACUCAUUCGGCAUAAAAUAUUUUCAACCCACAAAAAUAAAUUCCUUAUCAUCUGUUUGUUUUUGGAUUAGGUUCAAAACAUUUUCUGGGAAAAAUAAUCACAGUAAUAAGAGAUACCCAGUUAUGCUAACUGGCUAUUUGCAUUUUCCUUUUGAUAAUUUGAUUUCACAUGCUUUAUAAUUCCCACAAAACAAUCAAAAAACCGAAAUGAAGAAACUUUAAGCUUAACCUGUCAAACCCAAGUGCCAAAAAGGGUUGGUUGUAUCGGUUCUCGCAUUUUAUCAAACACCUGCAGAACAAAAAUUUGUGUAGAGGGUUGUUAGUAUAUGUAUUCAAGUCAUCAUUGAAAUGAAAUGUAAAACCACCAAACCAAGAAGCCACCAUCUUUAAGUGACUUACUUUGUAAAGAAAAAUUCAAGUUGCCGAAUAUAAAAAGAGUCCGCUUUCUUCUUCAUUUCUCCCUGCUCUUGUCUGGCCAGAACUUCUUCCUUUGAUCACUCUCUUUCUCUCCUUUUGUUUCAGCUGAUCCAACUAC